rnacentral:rRNA from 1 species
AUUGAACGCUGGCGGCAGGCCUAACACAUGCAAGUCGAACGAGUGGCGGACGGGUGAGUAAUGUCUGGGAAACUGCCUGAUGGAGGGGGAUCACUACUGGAAACGGUUGCUACUACCGCCUACCAUCAGCUGUGCCCAGUUGGGUUUCGCUUGUUGGUGGGGUAACGGCUCACCAAGGCGCCGAUCCCUAGCUGGUCUGAGAGGAUGACCAGCCAAACUGGAACUAAGACACGGUCCAGACUCCUACGGGAGGCAGCAGUGGGGAAUAUUGCACAAUGGGCGAAAGCCUGAUGCAGCCAUGCCGCGUGUGUGAAGAAGGCCUUCGGGUUGUAAAGUACUUUCAGCGGGGAGGCGUUACCCGCAGAAGAAGCACCGGCUAACUCCGUGCCAGCAGCCGCGGUAAUUC